UACGGAGGGGGCUAGCGUUGUUCGGAAUUACUGGGCGUAAAGCGCGCGUAGGCGGAUCUGCAAGUCGGGGGUGAAAUCCCGAGGCUCAACCUCGGAACUGCCUUCGAUACUGCGGGUCUCGAGUCCGGGAGAGGUGAGUGGAAUUCCCGGUGUAGCGGUGAAAUGCGCAGAGAUCGGGAGGAACACCCGUAGCGAAGGCGGCACUCUGGGCCGGUACUGACGCUGAGGAGCGAAAGCGUGGGGAGCGAACAGG
rnacentral:rRNA from 1 species